GGAGCAGGCCGGGGAGCCGCUCCUCGCCGGGGAUCUUGGAGUUCCCGGGGAGGGGAGGAAAGUCCGGGCUCCACAGGGCAAGGUGCUGGGUAACACCCAGCGGGGGCGACCCCAGGGAAAGUGCCACAGAAAUGUAAACCGCCUUUGGAGGAGUAGUCCUCCCGGGUAAGGGUGCAACGGCGGGGUAAGAGCCCACCAGCAGCCAGGCGACUGGCUGUCCCGGAAACGGGGGUCUUUGGGUCCGAGAGACCCGGAACCUAGGUAAACCCCACCUGGAGCAAGGCCGAAUAGGGGGAGAUGAGGUGGCCCGCUGAUCCCCGGGUAGGCCGCUUGAGGCUGCAGGCAACUGCAUGCCCCAGAGAGAUGGCUACCCGCCCGCUCUCCCGCAAGGGAGGCGGGUACAGAACCCGGCUUACAGGCCUGCUCCCCUU
rnacentral:RNase_P_RNA from 1 species